rnacentral:rRNA from 1 species
UACGAAGGGGGCUAGCGUUGCUCGGAAUCACUGGGCGUAAAGCGCACGUAGGCGGAUCUUUAAGUCAGGGGUGAAAUCCUGGAGCUCAACUCCAGAACUGCCUUUGAUACUGGGGAUCUCGAGUCCGGAAGAGGUGAGUGGAACUCCGAGUGUAGAGGUGAAAUCCGUAGAUAUUCGGAAGAACACCAGUGGCGAAGGCGGCUCACUGGUCCGGUACUGACGCUGAGGUGCGAAAGCGUGGGGAGCAAACAGG